rnacentral:rRNA from 1 species
UACGGAGGGGGCUAGCGUUGUUCGGAAUUACUGGGCGUAAAGGGCACGUAGGCGGCUUUGUAAGUUAGAGGUGAAAGCCCGGGGCUCAACUCCGGAAUUGCCUUUAAAACUGCAUCGCUAGAAUUGUGGAGAGGUAAGUGGAAUUCCGAGUGUAGAGGUGAAAUUCGUAGAUAUUCGGAAGAACACCAGUGGCGAAGGCGACUUACUGGACACAUAUUGACGCUGAGGUGCGAAAGCGUGGGGAGCAAACAGG